rnacentral:lncRNA from 1 species
UCACCGUCCCAAACAACCUCAGCAGACCCGUCACCUUACUCAUUCUCCAACGCCGUCCAGCAGGCCAACAACCCUCAAAUGACCAGCAACCAUCAGUCACAACCUGCUGAAGGCCACCCGCAACAGUGAACUCGCUAUCUCUUCUUCUUCAAGCCCAAACGACCACUCCUUCUCCUCCCAUCUCAAUCGCCAGCCUCUCUUCGUCUCAAAACCUCCAGAAACAACCAGCUUGUGCAGCUAUGAAGCCACUCUAGAGGUUGUCGUUCAUGCUAUGACUUCCGUUCAAGAUUUCCAUUAGCGAUUUCGCAGUCUCCGGUCGAAGGUUUCCGGUUUGGUCGAGUUUUGUUUGCGGUUCUGGGUCCAACAUGUUAUUGCUUUCUUGGACGAAUUUUGGAGUAAAGAUAUGUUUAAUUGCUAACUUUCUUUGCUAUUGAGGUGCAAAGGGAACUGAAUUUGGCAGCUAGUUCAUUGGAUAUAAACUUCCAGUUGGUUUUUGUUUGGAUCGUCAGAUUCACCUAUUUUUACUGUUAGGUAAGUCUCUCAUUUCUCUAUAUUUUUGUUUCCUUUGUGCUGCUAAUCUGGUAUUGUGGUCCAAUAGAUAGAAAAAAUGGAUGUGUCAUGUAGAAUUAUUGAUCUUUCUAGGAUGAAAAUGAAUCCAUUCCUUGAAUAAGCAUAGGCACGUCUUCAUAUACUGAUGAUAUUGUGGUUCGAUAUAUAGAAAUAAGGGAUGUGUCAUGUAGAAUUAUUGAUCUUUGUAGGAUGAAAAUGAAUCCAUGCCUUGAAUAAGCAUAUGCACAUCUUCAUAUACUGAUGUACAUGUGUAUCAUGCAUAUUUUAGUCCCUUUUUCACGUUUUUAUAUAUAAAUAUAUGCAGUGACAUGUAAACUUGAAAUAUUUUCAGCUUAUUUUCUUAGCUCUCCUGGUAAUGUGGAUCAAUGUUCCUUGCUAAUAUUUGUUACUGUGUAAAUAUAUUUUGGCUAGUAUUUUGUAAAAAUAGAAUAUGCAAAUUGAUAAUGUCAAAGAAUAUAUUGAUUCCAUAUCAAUUUAUUCGAAAACACAUGGCCCUCACUUAAUUAGUUUUAACCAUAUAGAAGUCGGGACGUGCCAUUAGUUGGAUUUUUCAUGGCCCUCACAAAGUAAAAAAAAUAUUGUAGUUGCAUUAGGUAUGCCUUUGAAAUAAUAAAAUGAGACAAGCCUCGCCCGAUAAAUUGCAAGUUGCGGGGCCGUCUAUGCAUGUUUGUCAUGCAAGAUUGCUUAGACACCGGAACGGGCCAUUUAAACAAAAGUCCACGGCCUCGCCCAAAACAAUACUACGCUAGUCGCUUAGGGCGCGUCUUUAAUAAAGUUACUUCCCUAAAUACGGGCAUGCAUUUAUGCAACCCAAAUCUAAAAUCUCAACAAAGUCGGAAUGUGUCGACGACCACGCGUACACUGGUUGUGACGUGGUUUGAAGCAUGUUUUCACGACGUUGCAAUUAUUUUCCAAAAUGACAACAAUAAUAAUAAAAGCGGUACAAGAGCCUUGACUUGCACUAAGUACAUAAUUGUUAAAAUCAGAUAAAUAAGCCGAAUACGACAGUUGAGCGACCGUGCUAGAACCACGAAACUACGAAAUGCCUAACACCUUCUCCCGGGAACAGAAUUCCAUAUCGGGAUUUUUGGUUCGUGGACGGUAAUACAGAGUCAAUAUUUUCCUCGAUUCGGGAUUCAACCGGUGACUUGGGACACCAUAAAUCUCUCAAGUGGUGACUCUGAAUCUUUAAUAAUAAAUCCCGUUUUAAUUGUCCUUUAAUUGAAAAACUCCCCAAAAAAGGAGGUGUGACAGCUCUGGCGACUCUGCUGUGGACUCAAUGACCCAAAAUCACUGGUUCAGGGUUAGAAAUUUGAGCUUAGAAUAAAUUGUUGUGUUUGGUUUUAUUUAUUAUCUGAUAUUUUAUAUGAUCUAUGCUUAAUGUGCAAAAUUGUAUUUUUUGCCGCUUUGAUAUUAUUUGAAUUGUAUAUAUAAAUUAUGCCGAAACCCCUCUCUUCUCUCUCCUGUGGAGUGCACGCUGGUCGUGACUUCUUUCUAUUAGUGUCAUAAUCCCAAAAUAGAACGAGGAUUCGGUGGAGUUGCAAAACCGGAGGAUCUUUUGGUUACUGGUACGCAGUUCCCAUCCUCGGCUCGAGUUGUCUGCUCGGGUAAGCCAGGUCUAGAACAAAAACCCAAGUUUGAACCUAGUAUAACAAAACUUCAUGAAGGAUCCCUAGUAAGAACGCUUAUUUGCAUCAUGUGCAUUUGACUUAGGGGACUCAACACAGGGGUUGGGUUCGUCUAAAACUAGCAACCUGAAAUGAAAUGACCAUCUUGCUGCAUCCUGUUUGUUUUGCGCAUUUAUUUGUUUCAGACUUGCAUGCUGACCGGUUUUGAAUAUCGAAAAUAUUGUAAAAAUGAGAAAAAGAGAAAAAGAGAGAAAUAGUAGUGCAGAGAGUUAAUUAUUUAGUUUUAGAAUAACCAAUGCGUAACUACUCGUGAAACUCUGCCGAAAUUCUGAAAAUAAAAAAAAGGAAAAUAUUUUCUUUUUAAUAGUCUGUUCUACUAAAAGCAAAGGAAAAAUAGAAGAAAAAAAAGUCUUUCAUUUUUGGAAAAUUGUUUGCUGAAAAAUAAAAAUGAAAAAAGAGUCUUGUUUAUUAAAAUAGUUUUUUCAUUUUGUUUAUGAAACGCCAAAAAUAAAAAUAAAAAGAGUCGUGGUUUGAAAUGGUUUUGUUAUUUGCUGCCAAAAAAAAGAGUCUUGUUUUAAAAUAAUUCAGUUAAUUUGGCGAAUUACGCCGGUUUGAUUCUCACAGGGUGUCAAAUACUUAGGCGACCCUCAUCGAGUCCAACCUCCCAUUUUGCUAGAAUAGCCAAAAAAAUAUCAAUUUUUAUUGUCGUCAUAAAUGAGUUGGGCGAUGCCGUUUUUUUCAAAAAUAGCCGAAUGUUCCAGAAAGGGACGCCGGAAGGCUGACUUUGCAUAAAAGGCCACCUUUGGUCAUUGUUUUAGAUUUUUGGUUGACUGACCCACACAACCUUAAAAUCUUCGUCCCCGAGGCGUUGAAAGGCCGUGUUUGCAAAUAUCGGAUUUUUUAUUUUUAAUGUAGAAAAACAAAAAAGUAGUCAUAAAUAAGUCGGUGAGGUUGUUUUGUCAAAACAUAGCCGAAUGUUUCCGAAAGGAACGCCGGAAGGCUACCUUUGCAUUAACAUCCACCUUUUACCAUUGUUUUAGGAUUUUGGCUGGUUAGCUAAUGCAGCCUUAAAAUCUUCGUCCCCGGGGUGCUAAAGGCCGUGUUUGCAAAACCUGGUCUUUUAUUUUAAUUUGAAAAAAAAGAGUUAGUGGGCAAGUAGAUGCCGUUUGGAUUUUUGGUUGAAAUAAGCCGAGCCAGCUUCGACACUGUAUUAAACCGUUCUUGACGAGAUAGCCCUAGAGUAUCCUUCAGUAGUCGAAAGGCUACUUUCGUAAAAGAACGGACAUAUUUGUGAAAUAAUCAUUCUCGGCCUCUAAAUUCAUGUGAAAUUGAGAAGGGGCCACAUUUGUAAAAAAUAGCCAUUUGGUUAAAAGUGGCAAAUAGGGAAAUGAAUCUGUCUGUUUGUCUUUGAUAUUGUAAUUCUUUUGAUAAAAUAUGCGAGUUGUUUGAUUUUCGAGUCCAUAUGUUGUAUUUUCGUCAAAUUUUGAUAGUUUGUUCAACUUUUAGACCAUUGUAAUUAAAGUUGAUUUUUAUUAUGAAAGUUAAAAAAUUCCAAAAAAAUGUUUUAUUGUUAUUUCCUUGUAUCUGCCCGAACUAUGCACGGUCUGAUUCAUGCGGGGUCAUGAUACGUAGGCAAUCUACAUAAGAUUCGACCAAAAAAAAUAAAAAAUAAAAAAAAACGAAAAAAAAUCUUAAAAAAGAAAGAAGAAAGAAAAAAAAAGUUAUUAAUAAUGAGGACCGACUGAGUCCAUUCUAACCUGUUUUAUUUUGAAUCGCAAAGAAAGUUAAGGUGGUUGGUUCGUGGUAAGCCGGAACACAAGAUCCAGGAAAACCUGACUGUAAUCCAAGACAAUGACAAUUAGAAUAUCACGCAGAAUCCUUUACCUGCAUAUCAUGAUGCACACUCUAUGGGGAUAAGGCCUGAUAACAGGGAGCACUCGAAUCCUAUUGGGAACUUGUUGACUGAGGUUGAUGAUAUUGAAGUUGGUAAUGGUCUUGGCAAUAUUGAUGCGAAGCUCAGUGGCUAAGACACCAUGUUUGAUAAUUGGGAGGACGCUCCGUUCCUUGGUUAGCAGGAGAGAAGCUUUGAUGUCUUAUUUUGUUUUUAUUUCUGUUGUCCGGAUUAUUCUUAGGGUUGUAAUCAAGAUAUUAUCGUAUGUCAAACCUUCUUAUCUUUCCAUUUCUUUCAUAGUUGUUUGGUUAGUUUUGUCCAGGUUUGUUUUGGGAUUGUAUUUUUGUUAUUUUUUGUUUGUUUUGUUAUUCAAACCAUUUCAAUGUUAGUCUAAUGCAAAACCGGAUUAUUCUUAGGGUUGUAAUCCGGAUACUGUCUUGUGUCAAACUUUUUAUUUUUCCAUUUUUAUCAUAGCGGUUUGUUUAAUUUUGUCAAGGUUUAUUUCGUGAUCGUUCUAGUUUGUUUUUGUUUGUUUUGUUAUUCAAACCAUUUCACCGUUAGUCUAAUGCAAAAUUCGGUCUUUUAUUAUUUCCAGUCAUCUUUCCGUUUAGUUCUUUUUUCAUUUUGUUGUGUCUUUUAUUCAGCGCCAAUUCUAGUGACAUGACAUGCACGAACAGUUUGGGCCUAGUCUUAAAAGUUAAUCAUAAAACAAGUGAAAAGUGAUCGGGAUAUUUAAAGGAGAUAAGAGCGGUUUGAGAUCAUUUGAAGCCCAAACCAUGAGAAACUGGGCAAGUAAAUGAGAGUAUUGCCCAACGAUGUUAUAUGUGUAUAUGAUUAUCUGGUGCAAUCAAAAGAUGUUACCAAUGUUUUCGAUAGAUUGUUUAAUUAUGUUGUUUGUACUUGGCGUGUUUUGGAGAUUGGAAUAACGAAUGCAUUUUGUUCUACUAUCAAAACACUUUAUCCUUCGUUAGCCCUUUGAGCCGUAUUUAUUUUUCUUUCAUACCCCUCUUUCGGAAUCAAUAGCAAAGGGUAGAAACACAAACAUAAAAAAAUAUGAAAAAGAGAAAGAAAAAGAGAAAACAACAAAAAGAGAAAACAAAAAGCAAAAGAGAAACGAGAAAAGGAAAAGGAAAAGAAAAAGAAAAGAAAGAUAAGAAAAAUAAUAAGCGAAAAGGAAAACUAGAAAAAACAAAUAGGAAUUGUGAACUAAAUUCGACCUGAUUCCUCAAGGAGGAUACGUAGGCGCCUCACGGCUCGGUCAUAGUGCAAAUAAAAAUAAAAAAUCCCCAAGAAAGAAACUGGGGCAAAAAUUAUGUUUAUUGUAAAAUAAUCUAGUUCCGAACAUUGUAAUUUUAAACUAAAUUGAUGUAUUUUUUUAGCCUUUAAAUACCCUUGCUUUCUAGCCUAUCCAAAUCCCACAUUACGGUAAAAAAAAAGACCUUCUAAUCAGUCUUCAAAAGAUGCCAAGUCAGACAAAUGAGGGAGUAUUAUCAGAACAUAACACUCUUAUCUCCAGUAGAAAAGAUUCUGAUCUCCAUACUGAGAAGACUCUGUUCCCCAAUAGAAAAGACUUCGCCCCCCNNNNNNNNNNNNNNNCCCCUUGCAUAAAAGAAAUAGAAAAGAGAGUCUUAUUGGUAACACCCCGAUCCCCAGUUGGAAAGUAAUACAUAUGAGAGAGUCUUAUCUCUGAAAACCUUCACGGGCACCAUAAGGCGAUGAAAGCUGAGAGAAAAGCCAAAAUGAGAGAGGCUUGACAGUGAAACCUUCGUGCACUACAAGUCGAAUAAGGGUGAGAAUCAGAUGGGGAAUCACCAAAUGAAGAUCUUGGAAGACGAUUGACAACGGAGGAUAGGCCACAUGUGCAUGUCAUGACCAUUAGAGUCGGUAUCCGCGUUUGAAAGGUUUUGAUUUUAUAGUUUCUCUUGUUAGAGUGUCAUAUCUUUCCUUUGUCGUUUAUUCUGUUCCUUUUUAUCUUUAUCUUUUCAUAAAAAAUUCCUCAAUAGAGUCUGUUUGGUUAGAACAAGUGAGAAAUGACUUCGAAAUCUGCCAUCAGCUUUCCAAUUAUGCAAGACGAGAUCUGACUAGUACGUCCAAGUGGUAUAAUUCAGGAAUGAACAAACACAAGGCCAGUAUUAAAAAGGAUAUCCCCAGCAAGAGGAGAUUGACAAAGGGAUGGAUCAGUGUCAAGAAAGAUAUCCUGCGGGAAUCAAAGGUUAUAGGCCUCAAGGCCAAGGCCAUCAUGAGAUUGACAAAGGGAUGGAUCAGUGUCAGGAAAGAUAUCCUGCGGGAAUCAAAGGUUAUAGGCCUCAAGGCCAAGGCCAGUGGACAAAUCAAGUUAGAACGACGCUGAAAGCGAUGGGCAUGAAUUGGAGAUUCAUAUGAGACUCCAAGGUCGGGGGAAAUGCUAGUUCCCUAGUUAUGAUACAAAAGAAGAGGGAUAUCCCUAGCAGAAAAGGUAUUUCAGUGACAUCGGAUAAACGAAGAAAGUGGUUCAUCAGUAAAACAUGCAAAAUCCUCAAGCAGAGUCACUGUCAUAGGAAUGUGGGUGGUCAGGAUACAAGUGGAAAACAACGGUGAAAGGCUUGUGAAUAAGGAGUCAUCAAGAAGGUCGGAAAUUAUCGACCAAGUUUCAAGAUGGCCAGAUGAUGCAAGGCAAGGCAAGUCAUGCUAAGGCCAGCAAAUAACAUCCUCCCCAGCAAGUUUUGAUAGUGUAAUGGAAUGCUGAGCAGGGAAGGAGAAAGGGAAAAACCAUCCCCAGCAAGAGCGACACAACCACUCACGAGUUUAAAACUAAUAAAUUUUCUUUGAUUGGAAGUAGGUAAAAGAAAAUAACAUUGAUGGCGAAAAGGCAUGACACGAGGAAGAUUAUCAAAUUAUGGCUGAAAAUUUUCCUUUCAUUUGGAAAAUUUUUUGAAAAAAUUAGGUAUCCACUUGGGGAAAAAGGAAAAUAAGACAAAUCUCAAGAGAAGAGGUCUUUGAAACAGUGUUAUCCCCAGAAUAACAAGUUUUAAUGAGGGAAGUUGUAUCCCCAGCAGCCCGAACAAAAGGAUAAAACUUGUGUUCAGAAAAAGUAAAAGGCCAGUGCCAUCCCCGGUAGCUUCUAGAAGAAUGAACCACUGAUUUUGAAGGAAUAAAAUUCCCCCCAGCAGCGUUAUCCUCAACAACGUUAUCCUCAAAUGAUAGCACUUUUAUCCCAGCAGUGUUGAGAGAAAGUAAUUUUGGAAAAAAAAGGAGAGAAAAGAGGGGACGAAAGGAGAUUCCCUAGAGGUAUUAUCCCCAACAGGAAAGUAAGUAAUUCCCCAGCAAUGUUAUCCCAGUAGUCUCGAGGGAAGACAACAUUGGCUUUUAAAGGAGGAAGCCAUCCCCAGCAAGGCCACAAAUCGGCCACCAUUUUUAAAGCUGAUAAAAUUUUCUUUGUUUGAGAGUUGAAACAGGAAUAAAGCAAUUCAAGGAAAAAAGAAAAGAAAAGAAGAAAUAACAAAGGUAAGUUUCUCAAAUCUUUGAUCUUUAAAUUUUUCUCCUAGAAUAAAAAGUCCUAGUAUGAUGGAUUUCCCUCCUAAUACAAUCUUGGUCCGAUGGAUUUUUUCUCCCAAGAUAAGAUAAAAUGUUGGUCUGAUGGAAUUUUUCUCCCAAGGUAAGAUAUAAAAAUCUUGGUCCGAUGGAAUUUUUCUCCCAAGAUAAGAUAAAAUCUUGGUCCAUUGGACUUUUUCUCCCAAGAUAAGAUAUAACAAUUUUAGUCCGAUGAAAUUUUCUCCUAAGAUAUCAAAUCUUAGUCCGAUGAAUCUUUCUCCUAGGAUCACAACAAAAUGGACCUAGUCUGAUGAAUCCUAGAGUCAAAAUCUUGGUCCGAUGAAAUUUUUCUCCUAAGAUAAGAUAAAAUCUUGGUCCGAUGGAAUUUUUCUCCCAAGAUAAUAUAUCAAUCUUUGUUAGAUGAAUUUUCUUCUAAGAUAUAACAAUUCGUAGUCUGAUGAAUUUUCUCAUACGAUAAUUUAAAAAGAAAGGAAGCCAUAAUUUGAAAAGAAGGGAAAGCAGAAUUUGAGAAAAAGAAAAAGAAAACGAAAGGAAGUCUGAAUUUGAAAAACAAAGUCUAAAUUUGAAAAACAAAAAAGAAAAGAAAAAAAAGUGUGAAUUUGCAAAAAAUUAAGAAAGUAUGGAUUCGAAAAAUGGACCUAGUCUGAGGGAUUAUCUCCUAAAGUCAAAAUCUUGGUCCGAUGGAAUGUUUCUCCUAUGAUAAUAUAACAAUCUUAGUCAGAUGAUUUUUUUUUCUCCUAAGAUGAAAAAUCUUAGUCUAAUGAAUUUUUCACCUAAGAUAAUAUAAAAAUCUUAGUCUGUUGAAACUUUCACCUAAAAUAAAAAAUCUUAGUCUGAUGAAUUUUUCACCUACGAUAAAAUAAAAAUAUUAGUCUGUUGAAACUUUCACCUAAGAUAAAAAAUCUUAGUCUGAUGAAUUUUUCACCUAAGAUAAAAUAAAAAUCUCUGAUGAAACUUUCUCCUACGAUGAAAUCUUAGUCUGAUGAAUUUUUCACCUAAAAUAAAAAAAACCAUCUCCAACAGGAGUAUCACAACUUAUCAUCGCAUUUUUAACUGACAAAAUUGUCUUUUUAAAGUUUUAUUUGAAGUUUUACCCAUAGGAGACGCACUUCCUAGUUUUAGUCACUAAAGUUUUGCAUUUCCUAGUUUUAGUCAUUGAAGUUUUCACCCCUAGGAGACGCACUUCCUAGUUUUAGUCAUUGAAGUUUUCACCCCGAGGAGACACACUUCCUAGUCUUGGUCAUUUAAAUUUAUCAUUAGGAGACGCACUUCAUAGGUUUGGUUCAUUCAGGUAUUAUGUUAGCAGACGCACCUGCUAGUCAGAGUUGGUUUUACUCAUAGGAGACACACAUCCUAGUCUAAUCUUUAGUUUACACUCAUCAUUGCAUCAGUAGUAUAAGUGGUUUACAAUUUUGCUAACUACUCACAAAUCUUCAUAGCGCAAAUUGGGUAGGAAAGUUCGUUUGUUUUGGUUGUUUUGAUUGUUUUGAUUGUAGGAUCCCGCAUGGAGAGCGGAGGGUUAUAAAAAAAAUCUCCAACAUUCAAUACAAGUUAGAAGUAGCAGAAGCUCGCGACAAGAAUGCGAGUCAACAGACUAGAUGAUCAACAAAAGUCAGUCACAAUAAAGAAAAAGAAAAAAGAGAAAUGAAUAAAAAAAAGUUAAUUCAAAAGUGCAGAAUUGGAGAAGAUGUAGUCUGCUCAAGACAUGGUUGAAGUCACAAGCUUUUCAUAUCCCGUCUUGAUUUUGAAGAAGUUAAAGAAGAUUGAACUAGCACCUACAACUAACAAGUGUCAAGUUUCAAAUCUAAAGUCCGCAUGAAUCACCAUUCAAAACUCAAGAUCAAGCUUUAGAAGACUUAUAGAUAGGAACCUUUGUAACUAGUAGCUGAUAGACUUAGUUAGUCUUUUUCAUGUUUGAUUUUUGAUGUAAUAGCAGGACCGUAGUCCGGAACCUCGAUCGACUCUCCACCUCGGUAUACUCAAUCAUCUCACUCACUUCUAAAUUACACGUGACCUGAUUUCUUUAUAGCCAAGAAUAUGUAGGCAACUCAGAUACCAGGGCUCAGUCACAUUCUCUCCCUCUCCUUUAGUUUAGUCUCUCCAAAUAAGGGUCGGGCCUAAAAACAUACAUAGUCUUUCUUUGUCUGAAAACUCUUCAUAUUUCCAGUGAAAGAGGGGCAGCUGUAGAUAUGUGAUUUUUGACCCUCCCAGAGAUUUUUUAUAUUUUUAGCGAAAAAUAUUUAAUUUAGGCUUAAUAUAGAUAUUUCAGCUAAUUUUUGGCUCGUUUACUUUGUUUCGUUACAAAAAGAAAAAUUACAAAAAAGUGGUAUAUAAAAUUUAGUUUAUGUAUUUCUCAAAAACUUAAAAAAUACAAAAAUAGCACCUUGUUUUUAAUUUUUACAUAAUUCAGAAAAUACAAAAAAAAUAGUUUCAUUAAUGCUUUAUAGUUAUUUUAAACUUAAAAAUACAAAAAAUAGUACUUUAUAUUUUACCUUUAUAUAAAAACGAAAAUUGCAAAAAAAAAAUAAUUUUAUUUUUGUAGUUAUUUUAAAUCUUCAAAAAUAUCAAAAGUAGUUUUGUUUUAAUUGUUAGUCUUAUUUUGAUAGUUAUUUUGCUUACAUAGAAUUAAUUAAAUAAGAUCGUAUUUUACUCGCGAUUCGGGGCAAAGAAUAAUAUUUGGGUUCAAACUACCCAUUUGUAGGACUAAUUUUUGGACAUAGCCCAUAACAAUCCAAACCCACCACAUAUUACACAUAACACGAGACCGCGGGAGACACGAUUACACAGUUGGGGGAGGGAUUCACGAUGGUCAAAAUCUGUUUUAAAAAAAGGGAACUACAAUAAUGACGAACAUGGGGACUAAACGCUAUUUUUUUUUGCACGCCUUAAAUUUUAAAAAGAGGCAGCUGGAUACUAAGAAAAGGGGACUUAGUCAAAUGAAAAAGAAAAAAAGGUGAGGGAUUUUUGAAUAAAAUAGACCAUACACAUUGAGGAGGGGGGGNNNNNNNNNNNNNNNNNNNNNNNNNNNNNNNNNNNNNNNNNNNNNNNNNNNNNNNNNNNNNNNNNNNNNNNNNNNNNNNNNNGGGGGGGGGGGGGGGGGGGGGAGGACUAUUCUUCUUCGUCUUUUUCAUAACCAACAAGAAUCUCACCCUUGAAUGAACUCCUCCAGUUACCGUCCCAAACAACCUCAGCUGACCCGUCACCUUCCUCAUUCUCCAACGCUGUCCAGCAACCGAACAACCCUCAAACGACCAGCAACCAUCAGUCACAACCAGCUGAAGGCCAUCCGCAACAGUGAGCUCGUUAUCUCUUCUUCUUCAAGCCCAAACGACAACUCCUUCUCCUCCAAUCUCCAUCGCCAGCCUCUCCUCAUCUCAAAACCUCCAGAAACGACCAGCCUGUGCAACCAUGAAACCACUCUUAAGGUUGCCGUUCAUGUUAUGAGUUCCGUUCGAGGUUUCCGUUAGCGAUUUCGCAGUCUCCGGUCGAAGGUUUCCGGUUUGGUCGAGUUUUAUUUGCGGUUCUGGGUUCAACUUGUUAUUGCUUUCUUGGACGGAUUUUGGAGUCAAGAUAUGUGUAAUUGCUGACUUUCUUUGUUAUUGAGGCACAAAGGGGAUUGAAUUUGACUGCUAGUUUAUUGGAUAUCAACUUCCGUUUGGUUUUUGUUUGGAUCGUCAGAUUCACCUAUUUUUACUGUUAGGUAAGUCUCUCAUUUCUCUAUAUUUUUGUUUCCUUUGUGCUGCUAAUAUGAUAUUGUGGUUCGAUAUAUAGAAAUAAGGGAUGUGUCAUGUAGAAUUAUUGAUCUUUGUAGGAUGAAAAUGAAUCCAUGCCUUGAAUAAGCAUAUGCACAUCUUCAUAUCUGGUAUUGUGGUCCGACAGAUAGAAACAAUGGAUGUGUCAUGUAGAAUUAUUGAUCUUUCUAUGAUGAAAAUGAAUUCAUGCCUUGAAUAAGCAUAGACACGUCCUCAUAUACUGAUGUACAUGUGUAUCAUGCAUAUUUUAGUCCCAUUUCCACGUUUUUAUAUAAAUAUAUGCAGUGGCAUGUAAACUUUGAAAUAUUUUCAGCUUAUUUUCUUAGCUCUCCUAGUAAUGUGGAUCAAUGUUCCUUGCUAAUAUUUG